GUUUUGGUGGCUUGGCGGCGGGGUCACACCCGUUCUCAUUCCGAACACGGAAGUUAAGCCCGCUAGCGCCGAUGGUAGUUGUUGUUACAGACAGCGAGAGUAGGUAGCCGCCAGAACA
rnacentral:rRNA from 3 species